GGACUUUAUUAUGUUUUCAACAUAGACAACUAUGUAAUUCUCUGACAAGGAAGCCAUGUGACUUAUUGAUACCAUCUGAUACUUAUGCUCAAUCUGGACACCCAUAUCUAAUGUGAAUAGAAUAUGCAAUAUUCUACAUUGCAUGGUCUAUUACGAACUAGCACUUUCUGGCCUACCUGGAAAGUACAGUUCUGGGUUUGCUGAUCUU